rnacentral:misc_RNA from 1 species
UCGAUGUGUGAUGCGGAAAUGGACUGGCACGAGCGUGCUUUUCGACAAAAGUCAAAAAGGAGUUCAUUUUUCAACGCUGUUUGUACAAUGGCUGUUUUUUCUCAAUAAUCGAUUUUUUUUUACAGUUUUUAGAUUGUUCCGACAAAUUACUUACUAUUUUAUCUUUUGAACGCUUGUUUGGUGCAUGAAGUGGUAUUGUAAAGAAAAUAUUUUGGAUAAUAAGUUGUUCUUUGGUGACUUCCAUGAAGGGUAAUUUUUAAUGCAGGAUAUGCGAAUGUUGUCAAUUAGUCCCAGGCUUGGAAUUCAGGUAACAAUCAAUGGCUUUAAAGCACUGGUUAAAUUCAUUGGUACACCUGAAUUCAGAUCCCUUCAUGGAAGUCCGCCUUAUAUCAUUCCUAAAAGAAUAAGUCAAGAUAUAGUUGAGUCAUUCUUUUCUAUGCAAAGGCAAGCAUGUGGUGGUACAAAUAAUAUGACAGCGUACACUUAUGGUUACAAUGUCAAUAGUAUGAUAAUUCGUUCUGAAGCUAAGCGUCUGUCAAAGAAACAAACUAACACAUAUGAUGUUGAUAUUGAAUUCGGUGAGGAGCAGAAGGGUAAUGAUAGCAUUCCUAAAAGAAGCAAUGUUCAGGGUAUUUUUUCAACCAACUUGUGGCCAGUCUAUCUUUAACCAUUUAUUUUCUAGUGUUAGAAAUAGCACAUAUAAAGGGCAAAAGACCUUCCCUGACACAGAAUACCUAUCAUAAGGACAACUAAAAACGUUUUAACUACAUUUUUGCAAUCCAAUUUUGUCCUUACUAUAUGCAGUUAAAUGUAACUAGAGUAUACAACUGGUCCCAGGCAUCCAGAGUUACAUUGCUCUUUGAAUUCAAUCUAAGUAUUGUUUUUAGGAAGAAUAUUUUGUCUAACAUUUAAAACCUUGAGGAUACAAAGAUGCUUUGAAUGCUAUGAAUACAUAUAGUCACGGGG